UUUUCAAGCUCUAUGGCAAUUACAAACUAUGAAAAAAUACCCUUUCUUGGGGUGUAGGGCUAUUAUUCAAGCAUCUCGCCUCAUUAUAGGAGCUGGAACUUACAUAGCACUGCACAGAAAUGGAAUAAACAAGGGGUGAGUUGUCGUAAACCAAUAAUGACUCCUGGCUUUGUGUUUUUCCAAGAGUCAUCCCACACAAGAUCUUAUUGGAUCCCUACAUGUAUUAGUUUUCUAUUGAUGCUGUAACAAAAUUACUACACGUUUAGAGGCUUAAAAUAACAUUUUUUUCUCUUACAGUUCUGGAAGUCAGAAGUUCAAAAUGAGUCUUGCCCGGCUAAAUCAAGGUGUCAGUGGGGGGAGGGGGGGUGUCCCUUGUGAAGGCUCAGGGAAGAAUCUGUUUCUUCCCUCUUCCAACUUGCAGUCCUUGGUCUGUGGCCCCUUCCUGCACCUUCAAGGCCAACCACGUAACAUCUUCAGGACCUGCCAACUCAGACCACACGCCCACAAAGGCAGAUUACUCCAGCCCUUCCAGACACGAGGGCUCCUGCAGCAGUUGGAGGCCUCUCUCAAAUGGAGAAGGUGGUAAGAAAGCUGAUUUGCCCAUAAGUAAAUAGCUGUUGUAAUUAUGGAACAUUAUUCUCAACAGACCAGCAGACGGAAAACAAUUUGCAUAACAGACGCGCUUAUUCAUGGAAAUGUUUGUGAUUUAUCUACCAAAGCAGAUGAAGACCCUAAAAUUAAAAUGUGUAUGCCAGCACCAGGAAGCCAAAUGCUCACUUCCCCCUCUUCUCAGCAAGGUACACAUGCUGCCAACAGGUCAGACUCAGCAUCUUCAGAUCCCUUUACAUUGGGGAGCUCUGGAGAAAGUGCAGAUCUGAGAGAGCGGCACAGGAGGAAUGAUGAAGAAAUGUACAAACCGCCCAGCGUUUUCCUUUAUGCCGAGAGGUCAGUGCUGCCAAUGCUGGUGGGUACCUGGCAUGAGUCGGCUAUGAACUGGAAACUUAUCUCCAGAGCCCGUAUGGGAGAGUCAUGGAACAAAUGAAACCUGGCAAAGCGAAGUUAAAUUUCAGAUUUAAGUGGUGAAUGAAGGUGCUGCCUUGCACACCCAGAGAAGCAGCCACUCUACAGUUCAACCAACAGAAAAUCAUCUGUAAGCUGGGAGAACGUGUCAUGCCCUGAAAGUGCCAUAUGUUAAAAUGAAGAGGGUGAUCUACGGGCCCUGGUCCAGGAGAUCUGAUGUAAGGUCCCACUGGCUGCCAGCAACAUUAAAGGCGGCAUCUAUUAGUGAAAUAAACCAACACAGGUGGCUCUUUAAGGGCAGGGCAAAUCGCAGAGGAUCUCUUUGAUCAGACCUGAUGGGAAUCCACACUCCUGUGAGGAUCAAGUGUCGAAAAGGAAAUCUUCCCUGGAGUAAAUCGGGCUGCGGGAGCAACUUGGGAGAGCGCACACUGGUGAAUUACUGGCCCUCUUCGGACACUCAGAGAAGCGGCCACUCAAAAACGCAAUCAACAGAAAAUGAUCUGUAAACUUAGCUCGGCCUGCUACAAACGCUAAAUGUGUUCAGAUGAAGAUGAUGUCACACAAGCUCAAGCAAAUGGAUGGAAGUAACUGACAGCUGAUCAGGGCGCAGCCUGAAAGCAGAGCUCUCCGCCGUUGCGCCGACCAGGGGGAAAACGGGAGUGUGCAUCUGGCAGCGCAAGUAUUUAAUCACUAGAAAGGCCUGUGCUGCAGCGGCCCAGGCUCGUCUCACUUCCUGGGCUUUAAGUCUGUUUAGCCAUCUAAUGAUCUGUUUGCUUUUCCAGGUUCCCAGAUGUAGUGCCUCUUGGAGGAUGGACACAAGCAUCUGGUCACCCUAAAGGGGCCUCCUUCAGAUGGAUGAGUUUGCAGGACACAUUACAAGCACAUGAGCAUGGUGGUGGGGACCCAGUUGCCCAGAUCACUUCCGGGUGCCCUGACCUGGGUUAUCUGACCAGCUGCAUCUUGAACUGCGAAAGUCCCAGCACCAUACAGCCCCUCAGAGGCCCAGCCAGAAGCUGGUCUCUUCUCUUCCUCCACCUCACUGCCUCUUAAUAAGGGGACUUCCAACAUGCUUUAUUUGUCUGAAAAAGCAUCUGAUUACUUUUGAUCUAGGAUAUAGAAAGUUACAAAGGCAUUAAGGAGGGGUGCUGAGCAUAUCUGAGAAAUGACAAGAAACCUUGGGAAUUGGCCACUCAGAGACUGCCUUUGGCUGGUAGGAUACAGACAUGGGGUGGAGGGAAAACUUCUCGAAUGUGGAAUGCGAGGGUCGGAAGCAUCUGAGACUCCUGUUCUAAGGCUGGGUUUCUUCCCUGUCUUACGAAGGCCGAAGGCUCCUCUGUCUUAGGAGUAGCUGACCAUGCUCAGCUCAGCCCUGCCCUCUACCUCCCCGGGGACGAGGGGCUGCAGACCACCUGUGCUGUGCUCUGUCUCUCUGGGCAAUGCUCCCCACGCCUUCCCCAGCCCUACACACACACACACACACACACACGGGCAAUGCUCCCCACGCCUUCCCCAGCCCUACACACACACACACACACACACACACACACACACACACACACACACACGGGCAAUG